GAUGAACGCUGGCGGUAUGCCUAAUACAUGCAAGUCGUGCGGAAAGGCCUCUUCGGAGGUACUCGAGCGGCGGACGGCAGAGUAACGCGUAGGAACAUACCCCAAACUGAGGGAUAACUGCUCGAAAGAGUAGCUAAUACCGCAUGUGGUCUUCGGACUAAAGCUUCGGCGGUUUGGGAAUGGCCUGCGUUCGAUUAGCUAGUUGGUGAGGUAAUUGCUCACCAAGGCGACGAUCGAUAGCUGGUCUGAGAGGAUGAUCAGCCUGACUGGAACUGAGACACGGUCCAGACUCCUACGGGAGGCAGCAGUAGGGAAUUUUCCACAAUGGGCGAAAGCCUGAUGGAGCAAUACCGCGUGCAGGAUGAAGGCCUUCGGGUCGUAAACUGCUUUAUGUGAGAAGAAUUUGACGGUAACACAUGAAUAAGGGUCGGCUAACUACGUGCCAGCAGCCGCGGUAAU
rnacentral:rRNA from 1 species